GAUGAAGAACGUAGCGAAAUACGAUAAGUAAUGUGAAUUGCAGAAUUCAGUGAACCAUCGAAUCUUUGAACGCACAUUGCGCCCGGCAGUAAUCUGCCGGGCAUGCCUGUCCGAGCGUCAUUUCUGCCCUCGAGCGAGUCCAGCAUCUAGGUGCUGGGCCCGCCCGGCGUUGGGGCACUACGGGAAGCCCUGUGCUGUCCCCCGUAGGCCCCGAAAUGAAGUGGCGGUCCUGCCGCGGCGCCCCCUGCGUAGUAUAACAGCUCGCUUCGGGACCCGGUGGAGGCCUGCCGUCAAACCUUACUCUCUAAGUUUGACCUCGGAUCAGGUAGGGUUACCCGCUGAACUUAAGCAUAUCAAUAAGCGGAGGA
rnacentral:misc_RNA from 1 species